CCUACGGGGGGCAGCAGUGAGGAAUAUUGGUCAAUGGACGCAAGUCUGAACCAGCCAAGUAGCGUGCAGGAUGACGGCCCUCCGGGUUGUAAACUGCUUUUAGUUGGGAAUAAAAGGGGGCUCGUGAGCCCCGUAUUGUAUGUACUACCAGAAAAAGGACCGGCUAAUUCCGUGCCAGCAGCCGCGGUAAUACGGAAGGUCCGGGCGUUAUCCGGUUUUAUUGGGUUUAAAGGGAGCGUAGGCCGGCUUUUAAGUCAGAUGUGAAAGUCCGCGGCUCAACCGUGGAAUUGCAGUUGAAACUGGAGGCCUAGAGUGUACACAGGGAAGGCGGAAUGCAUGGUGUAGCGGUGAAAUGCUUAGAGAUCAUGAAGAACUCCGAUCGCGAAGGCAAGUGUCCGGGGUGCAACUGACGCUGAGGCUCGAAAGUGCGGGUAGCAAACAGGAUUAGAUACCCCUGUAGUC
rnacentral:rRNA from 1 species